GGUAAUGGUAUGGAUGGAGGAAGUGGUGUAGCAAAGUUCUUGAGCCUACGUACAGAAACUUGAUCAGGCGAUUAGGUGGGUAAGGUUGCGUCUCAAACCAAAGCCCGAAUGGUAAACGUAAGACGAGGUUGUAAAUCAAGAGGCUGUGGAACGAAAGAUUA
rnacentral:ncRNA from 1 species